rnacentral:ncRNA from 1 species
GGAGCAAAGAAAUACAAGAGUUUUCUUUUAAUCAAUGGGAUGAGAGAAACCAAGUUGGAGUACAGUAGGGCAGAGGGAAUUUCCAGUGAAGCAGUGAAAUGCAUAGAGAUGGGCCAACACUGACACUGAGAAAUGAAAGCUAGGGGAGCGAAUGUGAUUAGAUACCCCUGUAGUCCUAGCCGUAAACGAUAGAUACUAGGCGCUAUGCGUAUCGACCUGUGUAUUGUAGCUAACGCGUUAAGUAUCUCACC